ACGUCGUGAGACAGUUCGGUCCCUAUCUGCCGUGGGCGCUGGAGAAUUGAGGGGGGCUGCUCCUAGUACGAGAGGACCGGAGUGGACGCAUCACUGGUGUUCGGGUUGUCAUGCCAAUGGCACUGCCCGGUAGCUAAAUGCGGAAGAGAUAAGUGCUGAAAGCAUCUAAGCACGAAACUUGCCCCGAGAUGAGUUCUCCCUGAGACUUUAAGUCUCCUGAAGGAACGUUAAAGACGAUGACGUUGAUAGGCGGGUGUGUAAGCGCAGCGAUGCGUUGAGCUAACCGGUACUAAUGAACCGUGAGGCUUAACCUUACAACGCCGAAG
rnacentral:rRNA from 1 species